UACGGAGGGGGCUAGCGUUGUUCGGAAUUACUGGGCGUAAAGCGCGCGUAGGCGGACCUGCAAGUCGGGGGUGAAAGCCCGAGGCUCAACCUCGGAACUGCCUUCGAUACUGCGGGUCUCGAGUCCGGGAGAGGUGAGUGGAAUUCCUAGUGUAGAGGUGAAAUUCGUAGAUAUUAGGAAGAACACCAGUGGCGAAGGCGGCUCACUGGCCCGGUACUGACGCUGAG
rnacentral:rRNA from 1 species